rnacentral:rRNA from 1 species
UACAGAGGGUGCAAGCGUUGUUCGGAAUUAUUGGGCGUAAAGCGCGUGUAGGCGGCUUUGCAAGUCGGGUGUGAAAGCCCUCAGCUUAACUGAGGAAGUGCGCCCGAAACUGCUUGGCUUGAGUACCGGAGAGGAUGGUGGAAUUCCCGAAGUAGAGGUGAAAUUCGUAGAUAUCGGGAGGAACACCGGUGGCGAAGGCGGGUCUCUGGGCCGAAACUGACGCUGAGGAGCGAAAGCGUGGGGAGCGAACAGG